UUGGAAUCGCCGCUCUUCCCACGCUCCUGCUUCCAGGCAGCGCCAUGAUCCAACGGGUUGGUUUUGUGUUCAGUGCUCUAAUGGUGGCCUCAUUUUCCUUUCCAAGUCAGACAAUAGUAGAAUACAAGCCAAAAUUAAAUGAUCCAUUUAAUACGAAGAACACUGACGAGCCUUUAGUAGUUAUUGUAGAGGAACAAGAUUCAAAAAGUGGUGGAUCAGUUAUAGUACAGUUUGUUUAUAAUGGAAAUGUAAAGGAUGGAAGAGACGGAUUGAACAACGAAAGAUACAACAUUGCACAAAACUCAAAAGACCAAUCAGAGCUCAACUACAAUACAACUGAAAGAAAUAUGCCAAAUUCUGAAGCCAUGCCUUAUAAAACCGAAGAUGCGUUUUUAACGAAGGAAACAAUUUCAAAACAAGAAGAAGGAAAGAAAAAAUCUGAACACCAAAAGCAAUCUUUUAACAAAAAAACCAGAAUGGAUCAAGAAUUUGAAGAAUGAAGAAUCGAUCCCAGCAAAAACCCAGCAUUUCCCUUACCCUACAAAUGCUGUACCUCCAUUUCCUGAAAUCAUACAUGGAAAACCAGUUCGAGAAAGUUUAAAAAGUUUUAAUGCAAAAUCAGAAACAUUUUUAUUGGAUUCCAAGUUUAAUGAAAGACCAAAGUUUUCUGAACCUGCACUUUACCCAAGGACAGUAUAUAACACAGAAUUUGAUGUUCCAUUUUUUUAGGAUUCAUUAAGUACAUAAGAAACUUCACAUUUGUUGCAUUAUGUUUCAUAAAUAAAUUUUUUUAUAUAUUU